CCGCACAUCUGCGUACACCAUGGCACUCCUGGGAACACCUGAUGCCACCUGGGCACCUUGGCAUACCCAAGCACACCUGGGCAGACCUGGGCACAACUGGGCACACCUGAACACACCCAAGCGGGCCUGCUGGGCAAAUCUGAGAUAACCCAGGCACACCUGAGCACACCUGGGCACAUCCAGCCACACCAGGAUGCAGCCAAGAACACCAGGGCACACCUGGGUAUACCUGGGCACAUCCAGGCUAACCUGCGCACAUCUGGGAACACCCAGGCACACCUGGACACACUUGAAUAUGCCUGGGCACACCUGGGUACUCCUGGGCAUGCCUGUGGUCACCUGGGCACUCCUGGGAACACCUGGGGCCAUCUGGGCACACCAAAACAUACCUGGGCACACCCAGUCUCACAUGGGCACAUGCAAACACAUCUGGGAACACCUGGGAACUCCUGGGCCCCCUAGGGCACACCUGGGCACUGCUGGUCACACCUGGGCACAACUACAUACACCUGGGUACUCCUGGGAACACCUGUGCACACCUGGGCUCAUCUGGGAACAAUUUGGGCCACUCGGGCAAACUCAGGCCCACUUGGGCACUCCAGGACAAAUCGAGCACACCCGGGCACACAUGGGAACACCUGGGCACACCAGGACACACCUGGGAACACCUGGUGCCACCCAGGCACACUCGAGCACACCUAGACACACCCGGGCACACCUGGGCACUCCAGGGCACACAUGGGAACAACAGGGAACACUUGGGACCAUCUGGGCACUCCGGGGCACACUGGGACAAACCUGGAGACACUUGGGUACACUUGGGCACACCUGGGCACAUGGAGGCACAUUUGGCCUCACCUGGGCAUGUAUGGGCACACCUGGGCACACCCAGACACAUCUACACACACCUGGGCACACCUGGGCUCACCUGAGCACUCCAGGGCACACCUGGGCACAUUCAGGUACACCUGGGCACACCUGGGCUUUCCAGGGUACACCUAGGCCCACCUGGGCACCCCCAGGCACAUCUGGGAACACCUGAACCCACCUGGGCACAGCUUGGUACAUCUGGGCACACCUGGGCAUAGCUGGGCACAUCU
rnacentral:lncRNA from 1 species